rnacentral:rRNA from 1 species
GGAAGGUGCAAGCGUUAAUCGGAAUCACUGGGCGUAAAGAGCGCGUAGGCGGUUAGAUAAGUCGGGUGUGAAAGCCCCGGGCUCAACCUGGGAACUGCAUUCGAUACUGUCUGACUAGAGUGUGAUAGAGGGAGGCGGAAUUCCGCAUGUAGCGGUGAAAUGCGUAGAGAUGCGGAGGAACACCAAUGGCGAAGGCAGCCUCCUGGAUCAACACUGACGCUGAGGCGCGAAAGCGUGGGGAGCAAACAGGAUUAGAUACCCUGGUAGUCCCACGCCCGUAAACGAUGUCAACUAGCCGUUGGGAGCAAUUUGGCUCUUGGUGGCGCAGCUAACGCGAUAAGUUGACCGCCUGGGGAGUACGGUCGCAAGAUUAA